GGAGUGAAAGAGUGAGUGUAAGUGGAAAGAGGUGAUAUUGUAUGAGAGUGUGACAGACAGAAUGAGAUCCGAAAACCAGAUCAACUGAAUCUAACAGAGGAAUGUGACCAUGCAGAAGGUAAAGGAGGAGUGUGACCACGCAGGAGGUAAAGGAGGAGUGUGACCACACAGAAGGUAAAGGAGGAGUGUGACCACGCAGAAGGUAAAGGAGGAGUGUGACCACGCAGAAGGUAAAGGAGGAGUGUGACCACGCAGAAGGUAAAGGAGGAGUGUGACCAUGCAGAAGGUAAAGGAGGAGUGUGACCAUGCAGAAGGUAAAGGAGGAGUGUGACCAUGCAGAAGGUAAAGGUGGAGUGUGACCAUGCAGAAGGUAAAGGAGGAGUGUGACCAUGCAGAAGGUAAAGGAGGAGUGUGACCAUGCAGAAGGUAAAGGUGGAGUGUGACCAUGCAGAAGGUAAAGGAGGAGUGUGACCAUGCAGAAGGUAAAGGUGGAGUGUGACCAUGCAGAAGGUAAAGGAGGAGUGUGACCAUGCAGAAGGUAAAGGUGGAGUGUGACCAUGCAGAAGGUAAAGGAGGAGUGUGACCAUGCAGAAGGUAAAGGAGGAGUGUGACCACGCAGAAGGUAAAGGAGGAGUGUGACCACGCAGAAGGUAAAGGAGGAGUGUGACCACGCAGAAGGUAAAGGAGGAGUGUGACCACGCAGAAGGUAAAGGAGGAGUGUGACCACGCAGAAGGUAAAGGAGGAGUGUGACCACGCAGAAGGUAAAGGAGGAGUGUGACCAUGCAGAAGGUAAAGGAGGAGUGUGACCAUGCAGAAGGUAAAGGAGGAGUGUGACCAUGCAGAAGGUAAAGGAGGAGUGUGACCACGCAGAAGGUAAAGGAGGAGUGUGACCACGCAGAAGGUAAAGGAGGAGUGUGACCACGCAGAAGGUAAAGGAGGAGUGUGACCACGCAGAAGGUAAAGGAGGAGUGUGACCACGCAGAAGGUAAAGGAGGAGUGUGACCACGCAGAAGGUAAAGGUGGAGUGUGACCAUGCAGAAGGUAAAGGUGGAGUGUGACCAUGCAGAAGGUAAAGGAGGAGUGUGACCAUGCAGAAGGUAAAGGUGGAGUGUGACCAUGCAGAAGGUAAAGGAGGAGUGUGACCAUGCAGAAGGUAAAGGUGGAGUGUGACCAUGCAGAAGGUAAAGGUGGAGUGUGACCAUGCAGAAGGUAAAGGUGGAGUGUGACCAUGCAGAAGGUAAAGGUGGAGUGUGACCAUGCAGAAGGUAAAGGUGGAGUGUGACCAUGCAGAAGGUAAAGGAGGAGUGUGACCAUGCAGAAGGUAAAGGUGGAGUGUGACCAUGCAGAAGGUAAAGGAGGAGUGUGACCAUGCAGAAGGUAAAGGUGGAGUGUGACCAUGCAGAAGGUAAAGGUGGAGUGUGACCAUGCAGAAGGUAAAGGUGGAGUGUGACCAUGCAGAAGGUAAAGGAGGAGUGUGACCAUGCAGAAGGUAAAGGAGGAGUGUGACCAUGCAGAAGGUAAAGGAGGAGUGUGACCAUGCAGAAGGUAAAGGUGGAGUGUGACCAUGCAGAAGGUAAAGGUGGAGUGUGACCAUGCAGAAGGUAAAGGAGGAGUGUGACCAUGCAGAAGGUAAAGGAGGAGUGUGACCAUGCAGAAGGUAUGGGUGGAGUGUGACCAUGCAGAAGGUAAAGGUGGAGUGUGACCAUGCAGAAGGUAAAGGUGGAGUGUGACCAUGCAGAAGGUAAAGGAGGAGUGUGACCAUGCAGAAGGUAAAGGAGGAGUGUGACCAUGCAGAAGGUAAAGGUGGAGUGUGACCAUGCAGAAGGUAUGGGUGGAGUGUGACCAUGCAGAAGGUAUGGGUGGAGUGUGACCAUGCAGAAGGUAUGGGUGGAGUGUGACCAUGCAGAAGGUAAAGGUGGAGUGUGACCAUGCAGAAGGUAAAGGAGGAGUGUGACCAUGCAGAAGGUAUGGGUGGAGUGUGACCAUGCAGAAGGUAAAGGAGGAGUGUGACCAUGC